rnacentral:rRNA from 1 species
CCUACGGGAGGCAGCAGUGAGGAAUAUUGGUCAAUGGCCGCAAGGCUGAACCAGCCAAGCCGCGUGAAGGACGAAGGUGCCAAGCAUUGUAAACUUCUUUUGUCAAGGGACAAAAUCAGGCUCGAGAGUCUGUCUGAGGGUACUGGACGAAAAAGCAUCGGCUAACUCCGUGCCAGCAGCCGCGGUAAUACGGAGGAUGCGAGCGUUAUCCGGAUUUAUUGGGUUUAAAGGGUGCGUAGGCGGGCUGUUAAGUCAGAGGUAAAAGCCCAGGGCUCAACCCCGGCGAGCCGUUGAUACUGGCUGUCUUGAGAUGUCGAGAGGUAUGCGGAAUG